AUCCCAUGAUGAGGACACUUACGAAGUAACUCCUUUAAUCAUUCCUAAGCCUUAUACAAAUACUUGUCAUCCAAUUGUUGGAAGGUUAUGAUCUCAUUCCUCAACUU
rfam:Gossypium arboreum cultivar AKA8401 contig_9140_5, whole genome shotgun sequence.